ensembl:lncRNA
GUGGACUGACUCAGUCCCAGUCUGUUUCUACUUAAGUAGUCUCUGGGUUUUUCGUUUGCUUGUUUGUUUGUUUUUGUGAAGCACAGGUGAAACUGAGAAGUGGACAGAGGAGGCCAGAGACCGCAUGGAGCUUCCUGAGUCUUGACAUUCCAAGAAUACCCUCAACUGGUCCUCUCCUUUUUUCGAAAAACGUGACAAGCCUGUAAGACUAAGGGAAAGAGUAAAGCAGUUUCUGUUCAUUGUACGCUGGACAAAUUCCGAGUGGAUUCUGCAAUACUGAAUUAGCAUAGAGGACUUUCUGGAGGGAGAGAAGUGGACACUGUUCUUGACAGCUAUACUCAAUAUAUACUCACUACUUGGAAAGUAUGCUAUUGCAACGUUCUCCUUCUGGAUUCCCAGGCUGUGCAAAGUUCCCUUGGCUUAAAGUCUAUUUUUCUCUUCCAUUAGAAACCAGGAAAGCAAAUGCACACUGGCAGCUUCUCACUAUGGACCAAUCAAAUGUUUCCCAUUUGAGUCUCGCAGUACUGUGCUCACAUCUUGGGCACUUGUUCUGAUCCAUGCUCCAGCCAUAAUGUGACUCCUUCACCAGAGGCCCAAACAAACAGGGCUGUCUGAUCUUGCACUUAAGCUUCUGGAGCCAUCAGCAAAAAUCAACCUCUCAUUACUUCAUAAGUGGCAUGCAUCAGAAGACUUAAGUCCCACGGUGAGCCAGUGACUUAUCAGUUCAUACUCGCUGGAGUCAGAGGUCAGAAGAACAUAAGCCAACAACCCCUGGUUAUUCUCUGAAAUCUCCAUGAUGGCACUGGCUCUGCACAGGGCAGAGUUAGGAUACAAACCAGUGUGGUGUAGAUGUAUGGGUAGUGACUCUGGUUUACCUCCAGAUACAUUCUUGGGCACCCUAGUUGUCUUUUAUCAGAAAAGCCACAACUGACUCUAAGGCCAGCAUAAGAACAAAAGACAGAAGAAAACAUGGAGUCAGAAACUUGAAGUUACUGCGGGGAGGAAUAUCAGACAUUGAGGUUUCACUAACUGCCAAGCCAUGGGAUGUAACAUCGAAGAAAAUCUAAAAGUGUGUCAUGCCAGCUUGCCCUUCAACUGGAGCUCUGUGAGGCUGGAGCCACAACUGUAUUUCCGGGUAUAUCCCCACUCCUUGUGCUGGUGUGUGGGCACCUUCCCACCCAUCCCAGAAAGGAAGGCGAGGGGACUGAUGCAAUUCGUGGACUGAUCUUCCUAACAACACAAGUCAGCUUCAUGUUGAGCAUUCCUGGAGAACAAAAGUGUUUUUGCUGCCAAGAUGUCAGGUUCUUUUUAGAGAGCUAAAAAUUAUACACAUCAGAAUUUCUAAAAUAAACGCUGAAUCUGAACCUUCCAGGCAGUGUUCUUGUUUUUCUCCCUGAGCUAUCAAAGAACAAAUUUGUUCCUUCCUUUAUUAAUAAGUUUGUUGGAAAUCUGUUGUGCCAGCCCAUGACUAUUUUCCAGGAAAGCAGAUUAAUGCUAGAUUAUGAAAAUAAAUGAUAACAUAUUUACUGUGAGAACUAAUGAUAUCCUGAGUGCUAAGACAGUACACACUGCUUCUUCCAAGACUGGCAGGUAUGUUUCUGAAGUUGACUUCACUUCAGCGGAAGACACUCUGAGCUUACGUGACUGUGGGCUGCCCAACAUUGCAAAGAUACCAGCCUUGGCAGCAGCGUAUUUAGUACAACUCCAGUUGUGGAAACACUACUGUCACAUUAAAGAAAGGAUUCUUCCUGCCGUGUUGACAAGGAGUAGUGGAAUGGCAAGGCACCAGAAACUGUGGAGACCCAUACUCUUGUCUCAUUUCUGUCUUGCCUGCCUGUAGCCAGGUGGUGCUUUGAAGCCAUCCCAGCUUGUUUAUGAAUAACUCUAUGCUACUGGCCUUUGCUUAAAGUCUGCCUUAAGGACUUUUUCU